CUUCAGUUCACAUGACCUGAUCUUCCACAACUGUUGACAGGGUGCUUUCAGGGUGCUGGGUUAUUGUUCAAAACAUCCAUGUAGUUGCAACAUCACUGGUAUUCAUAAGAACUAGAGCUGUGUUCGAAUACUCAUACUAACUGCACUAACCAUACUAUUUGUGAUGUAAGUGGAGUAUGUAGUAUGGUUAUUGGCCAUAGUAUGGAUAUAGUUAGUAUGCCAGAAGUUCCUGGAUGUCGUACUAAAUUAGCCAAAAUGGAAAUUUUUUCCAUGCUUUCAGGGCCCAUAAUGCAAUUCUUCAGAAAACGGGCGUGGCCUCCCAACGCUUUCAGAUUUUAAGAAAAUGUCGGAAAAUUUGCAGCCAAAGUCCGACAAGAAUGGAUACAAUUUCAUUGCUUUAACUAGCUAUGACAAAUGUUAAGCGAUGUAAUUCAUUUUCAAAUAAGUUACGUUACAAUUCUUUAGCAACGCUAUACUUACGAACCGCAUAGCAUAUCAUUACAGUAGUAUGUACCGUUAUGUUAACUAGCUACCUAACAUACAUUUAGUUGGCUAUUAAGACAUCAGGCUUAGCUAAGUGGCAUAGUCAUUGUUCGUUCUCAAUGGACAUAGUUCAUUUGCUCUGGCUAUCUACUCCGAUUUCAGAGCACUCUCAUCUGAGUGUGCCAAAGCGCAGAUUAAUUGAUGAAUAUACAAACGUAACACCCAUUGAAUAUAACCGGUGUCAGUACAUGUCUGCAAAAAAAGAGUAAUUAAAUUGUUGCCAGCACCACAGUUACAGUCACCAACACUCUGGAUAACAUGAAAACAGCCUAACCAGCUCUGCUAGGCCAAACCCGGACGACGCUGGACCCAAUCACAGUCAGAUAUGAUACAGCCUGGAUUCAAACCAGUGACAAUGGUGGAAGGAGGUGGGGUUUCGUGACUGCAGAAACAGACAUGAGGGGUGAUGAAUGGAUGAAGACUGGCUGAUACCAGAUUGGAAGAAAAGGAAAAAGGAAGAGGGAGAGAACAGCAGGAACAUGUACUAUACUAUGUAACUUACAUAUACUGUGUAACUUACAUAUACUGUGUAACUUACUAAGACAUUUUUAAACAAAUAGCUGUGAAUGGUUGUUUCUGGUGAAUUUAAGGGAAAAUACAACAACUUUUCUGAAAUGUUGUCAAUUUAGUCAAUCAGAACUCAAAUACCAAUAUUUUUCUGUCUUACUUUAAACUGUUGGUCUAACUAUAACAGUUCAGAAAGUCACCACCAAGGUCAAAACCCAUUAUUCUAUUUUUGUUCCCUUCACCAUGUUUGGGUAGUACAUGGUCUUGAAAUGACUAAUUUAUUUAUACAUAUUCGUAAUUUCUCUUUCUUUAUUGAGAUAUCAAGUUAUGAAUGAGAGGGGGGUGACAGAAAGGUAGAGGAAUACAGAUAUGAAGGAGUAGGCAGGGUUUGAAUCCAUGCCGCAAAGGGCCAUGUGUGGUCCAGAGUCAGCAGCAUUACCACUAGACCAGAUUAUGGCACAAAAUGAACGUCUAAUACUCAAUUAACUUAAAAGGAGUCAAGGGACUCAAUGUCAAGAAACUGCUGACAUGAUUACACAAUUUACUUGCAGUAUCAAUUCAUUAAAAACUAUAAAUACAUACAUACAUACAUGCAUGCAUACAUGCAUACAUACAUACAUACAUACAUGCAUACAUGCAUACAUGCAUACAUGCAUACAUACAUACAUACAUGGUUGUAAAGGAAAUCAUGUCCAGUCCUAAUAAGCUGAAGAUUAUAUCAUGAAUAAAAUUAAACAAGUAUUGUGUUAGUCUACCUGGAAACAGAGAGGCUGAUUACUUUGUUGUAGUGAAAGUGAACUGGGAUAGAAAUACAUUAUCAAUCCGAUUAAAGUGAGUGUCGUGAUGCCAACUUUGGACCAACUACAUUGAGUGUAAAGGCUUGGAUAGGCCUAUGGCUCAGAAUAUGGAAUAGAAUGUGAAUGGUGGGCUACUCUCUCAAGUAUUAAUUCAAAUAUGCAGUAGCCUAUAGGUUGUGGGCAGAAGCCGAAAAACGUGAAGUUGAUCGAUCCCCAUCGAGGGAGGAGCAGAUUUUUAUAUUUGACAGUAAAACAUUCUUAUAAUAACUAUAAAAUGUGUUGGCGCCUUCAAUUCUUGCACAUUGUCUCAUAAAAAUAACAGUUUAACACUGCUUCUAUCUAGG
rnacentral:lncRNA from 1 species